rnacentral:rRNA from 1 species
GGUAUAGGCCAUGCCACCCUGAACGAACCUAAUGUCUGAUCUCGGAAGCUAAGCAGGGUCAGGACUGGUUAGUACUUGGAUGGGAGACCACCUAGGAAGACCAGGUGCUGAAGGCA